UUCGUGUGAACAGUGGUUGAUCACGAGUUAGUCGGUCCUAAGUUCAAGGCGAAAGCCGAAAAUUUUCAAGUAAAAAAAUAUAUAUCAUAUAUUAUAAUACACUUGGAUAAUUUUGAACGAAAGGGAAUACGGUUCCAAUUCCGUAACCUGUUGAGUAUCCGUUUGUUAUUAAAUAUGGGCCUCGUGCUCAUCCUGGCAACAGGAACGACCAUAAAGAAGCCGUCGAGAGAUAUCGGAAGAGUUUUCUUUUCUGUUUUAUAGCCGUACUACCAUGGAAGUCUUUCGCAGAGAGAUAUGGUAGAUGGGCUAGAAGAGCAUGACAUAUACUGUUGUGUCGAUAUUUUCUCCUCGGACCUUGAAAAUUUAUGGUGGGGAUACGCAAACUUCUCAACAGGCCGUACCAAUAUCCGCAGCUGGUCUCCAAGGUGAAGAGUCUCUAGUCGAUAGAAUA
rnacentral:rRNA from 1 species